AACCCUUCUGAGCCCAUUGGACAUUAGAAUAGCUUCAAAAAUUACAUUAUAUAAAACCCUGUUUUGCUUUUUGCCUCUUCCCAGUCAAACUCAAGAACGGAUCCAUCAGCAGGGUUUAGAACAGUUUGAGGCAGCAGCAACCAAUGGCUCCAAAAGGCAACAUGACUUCUCAUUUCAUAGCUUUGGAGUUUGGGAUGCUGGAUUGUUCCCCAUUUUAUUUGAUUAACUAGUUUUAUUGGAAGUGAUGAACUUAGUGAUGUCACUCAAGCUAAAUUCGAGAAGAAGGCAAAUCCAAAGGCACAAGCCUUGAAGGCUGCAAAAGUGGUGAAAUCCGGACCUACUUUUAAGAAAAAGGCUAAGGGUCAGUUUAGCAUUGCUUCUAAGAAGCACUUUUGGGACAAAAAAUGCUUAGCAAAAGCACUUUUUUAGCCAAAAGCAGAAGCAGAAAAAUUUAGCCUUUGCUGAAAAGUGCUUUUUGGCCCAAAAGCACUUUUGAGAAACAAUGCUAAACUAAGCCGAAGAAGAUUGAACCAAAGUUACAUUUCACACGCCAAGGACUUUAAAGGAAGAUAGGAACCCCAAGUAUCCUUGCAUUAUUGCCCCACCAAGGAACAAGCUUGAUCAUUAUCAGAUUCUCAAGUUUCCUCUCACAACCGAUUCCGCAAUGAAGAAGAUUGAAGAUAAUAACACAUUGGUUUUCAUCGUCGACAUUUGUGCUGACAAGAAGAUCAAGGAUGCUGUCAAGAAGAUGUAUGAUAUUCAGGCCAAGAAAGUGAAUACCUUGAUCAGGUAACCUUUUUAUUUGUCCUUGCUCCACGAGCUAAUUGCAUUUACUUUAUAGCUCAGGAUGUACAAUGGUGUGGUACAAUCGUUUCUGCAUAAGUUUGCAUACAAAUGGAUUGUGCAAACAUUAACUGGACAACCUUUUGUCAUAUGGUCCUUGUAGGCUUGUUAUCAGAUUGCUUAUUAUUCGAGACCAUGUGUUGUCACCUUCAUAUCAUCUCUUUAUACAUACGAUGUGUUUUUUUGUUCUCGUAAUUCACGCCUCAUGUUAUAAAGAAGGCGUACCUGGUUAACUCCCGAUUACGAUGCCUUAGACGUGGCAAACAAAAUCAAAAUCAACUAAGCUAGUCGGCAGUAACCCUGAUUCGAUCUUUUCCUUGUUACUUUUUUUUGAUAUUUGUAUAAAAUGAUCCAAUGCAUGGAUGUUAACAAAUUUGGUUCCAAAAAUGGAUUCUUUGUGAUAUGUGGCUGUAAUUUUUUUCUGCCAUGACACUAGUUAAAGAA